GCACCGAUGCAUUCAACUUUGAACUUCAAAGUUGAAUGCAUUGUUAUUUGAUCACUUGAUAUAACUCGCAAUCAUCGAUCGAAGUCAUGGCUGUCGAGAAUAUCAAACACGAUCUGUGUACUCUGCUUCGAGAAGAGAAGUCAUUUGAUAUUAAUGGAGUGCGUCGAACCUAUGAAACGAGAGCUGCUACUUUUAUUUCAAAAUCCUCUCCUUGGAAUCCCUUUUCAAAGGGUAAAAAUGGGAGAGAUAUGUCAAGUGAAAUGUUAAUACCUAAGCACUUGACAAUUCAUUGGCAAAGUGGAGAACUAAGACCUUUAAACCAUGGCAACAAAGUUUUCAUUUAUCCGGUGGCCGGUAAAUAGAGGUCUGGAGAGAGUUAGACGGAUGUGUAAGAACUACGAAUUAAAGCGAAUAGAAAAAAUCAAGAAUUUAGCUGCAUUACCGAUAAUAAAGCAAGACUUUGUGUACCCUAACUCUUUGCCUAUAGCUACAUUAUAGUGGUGUAGUUAUGUCAUGUAUACAUUUUUCAGUUCUUAAUGAUGCAAAGAAUAGAACUAUGAAAAAUUCCAAGGCACUUUUCAUUAUUGACGUGCUCCCACCUGAACUCUCCGAGUGUAUGUAAAAGAGUAAUCACAAUAGAAAUUUUCUAUGUUUCUUUAUAGCAAGUACAUCUAACUUCGAAUAUUAA